GGGAAUAUGGCUUAGUGGUAGAGUGCUUGCCUAGCAUGCAUGAAGCCCUGGGUUCAAUUCCUCAGUACCA
rfam:Dipodomys ordii contig_18332, whole genome shotgun sequence.